rnacentral:rRNA from 1 species
CUUAGUUUCGUAGGUGACCUGGCGGAAGGUAUUACACUCAGUAGUUUACUACUGGUUAAGGAGGCUAUUAGUCUGUAUAGCUUAAUCGCUGAUGAGCAGCUUGCCUCUUUUCUCCACCCUUGUCUUUUGCGUACCCAUGUUUCCUCGGCAGGCUUGCUUGCCGAUUGGACAAUUCUAUAACCUUUUUAAUUUUUAAUCAGCGUCUGAAAAACUUAAUAAUUACAACUUUCAACAACGGAUCUCUUGGUUCUGGCAUCGAUGAAGAACGCAGCGAAAUGCGAUAAGUAGUGUGAAUUGCAGAAUUCAGUGAAUCAUCGAAUCUUUGAACGCACAUUGCGCCCCUUGGUAUUCCAUGGGGCAUGCCUGUUCGAGCGUCAUUUGUACCUUCAAGCUUUGCUUGGUGUUGGGUGUUUGUCCUCUCCCUAGUGUUUGGACUCGCCUUAAAACAAUUGGCAGCCAGUGUUUUGGUAUUGAAGCGCAGCACAAGUCGCGAUUUAAUCUAACAACACUUGCGUCCACAAGUCUUUUUUAACUUUUGACCUCGGAUCAGGUAGGGAUACCCGCUGAACUUAAGCAUUAA